GUUUCCGACAGAAGAUUAUGCUAAAAUUUGGUAUGAUACAGAGAAGAUUAACAUGAUCCUGCUCAAGAAUGACAUGCAAAAUCGUAAAGCGUUCUAUAUUUGU
rfam:Phlebotomus papatasi Contig336.14, whole genome shotgun sequence.